rnacentral:rRNA from 1 species
GAUAAACGCUGGCGGCGUGCCUAACACAUGCAAGUCGAACGCCCUUUUGCGCAAGUGAGAGGGAGUGGCGGACGGGUGAGUACCACGUGGGUACCUACCUUGAGGUGAGGAAUACCACCGAGAAAUCGGUGACAAGACCGCAUACGCUCGGGCAACCGAGCAAAGUCAUGCAAAUGACGCCACAAGAUGAGCCUGCGCCUGAUUAACUGGUUGGUGAGGUAACAGCUCACCAAGGCGACGAUCAGUAGCUGGUCUGAGAGGAUGAUCAGCCACACUGGGAUUGAGAACGGCCCAGACUCCUACGGGGGCAGCAGUGAGGAAUUUCGUCAAUGGGGGCAACCCUGAACGAGCAACGCCGCGUGCAGGAUGACACUUUUCGGAGCGUAAACUGCUUUUCUUCAGGAAGAGAACGGACGGUACUGAAGGAAGAAG